rfam:Salmo salar isolate Sally breed double haploid chromosome ssa05, whole genome shotgun sequence.
CGUACUCACGACUGUAAGUUUCUUUGGAUAAAAGUGUCUGCUAAAUGGCAUAUA